GCAACCAUUCCAUAUGUUUUACGCUUUUUUAUUAUUGCCCUACAGUGCUAAGUGGUAUGUUUAACCGUUUAUGUCUUUUUUUGUACCCAUUACCAGACUUGUGACGGUAAAUUACCACCGGUCUCUUCUGAAUUGACAGUUAUUUGGCUUUUCCCAUGCUGAUGGAUGACAGAGGGAUUUUGUAUGCUUGUUACCUCAUUUUUAUUCUCUAGUGAAACUGGAAGUGAUGGAAUGACACAAUAUAGUUCCUUUAGACUGAAAUGAACUAAAUUAAGUAUAAUUAUAUUGCCAAUUUCAUUUUGUUUAAUUUUACUUACAAUAAUUGUUAGGGGUGUCAAUAAUUAUGACACCUAUGCCGUACAAUGCAGUAAAAGGCUGAGGGCACACUGAGGGUAUUGCAAAGAAUGUGUUUUUUAAUGACAAGCUUUCGGUACAAGGCCUUCGUCAGGGCAUAUCAAGAACACAAAAAGAAGCACAUUUUAAGUGCUGUGGAAUACAAAGGAGGAGGUACGACACCUGUAGGCUAUCAGGCAAUUAGCUCAUCACAUGACGUUAUAGGCGUUGUCAAACAAUUAACAAAGUUAGAGGCGUACUGGAUGGUUUAACAAUUAACAACGUCACAAAGGUAAUAGGUGUAUUAAUUAGAUGAUAAACAACAUCACAGAGUAAUUGUCAUGAACAGCAAAGGAUAAUGCAUGAUAGAAAAUGUUUUAACAGGAGGGUGGGGAUAUUAACCUUCUAGGAGAACCUCUGGAAGACAGUUUACAUCAACAUUAAUUGUAGAUAAACAUACAAACUCUGUAAUACAAUAGUGCAUUUAAUAGCACGAUAAAGUAAAGAGUAAAAAAGCCUAAAAUCCAGGUGUCGACAAAAAAAGAAAAGAUGGUGUUGAGGUCUGAGUGAACCUGUACCAUACAUCAGGAAAUACCGUCAUAAAAACAGGAACACGGCGAACCUGAAGAAAUAUAUACAAAUAGAAAAAUUAAGGAUAAAUAGAAAGGCAAUUACAGCAAUACUUGCAUGUCAAAUUCUUCAUUAAGACGCCUAUUGUAACUGUCUAAAGUAUGGAUCCACUAGAGUUCUCUCUGCAAUAGUAAUUCCUCAAUGUUACCGCCUCUAGCAGGCGCAUUAACCCUUUCGAUGCCGAGGAAGCUAAGGGAGGCAACAUUGUGGGCACGUUUAUUAAAAUGAAUGGCGACAGGGUAAUCAGGGUCUUUUCGUCUGAUAGUACUUUUGUGCUCACUGAUUCUUUGUUUUAGACAUCUUGAUGUUUUUCCUACAUAAAUUAGAUCACACGGGCAUCUUAUGGUAUAGAUCACAUUUUUGGUGUUGCAUGUAAGGACACCUUUAAUCAGAAAACGUUUCCCAGACUGGGGAUGACUAAAAUCAUAGGUCUUCGAAGUGUUGUGACAAUGGGCACAGUUUCCACAUGGGUAGUUCCCAUCCCUAAGGGGUACUAGGCCUGACUGCGUGGGGCCGGUACUAAGACUGGCACGGACGAGCUUAUUGCGCAAAUUGGGCGCCCUUUUGUGAACGAAAAGGGGGGGGAUCCUUGAAUUGAGAGACAAGAACAGGAUCUGUUGUGAGAAGAUGCCAAUGCUUCAUAAUUAUGUUUUUGAUCAUAAAAGAUUUGGGAGAAAAAGUAGUGAUACACGUGACAGAAGUCUUUACUCUUUUUCUGGGUUUUUUGUAAAAGCUUGAGUCGUGGUUUUUAAAGUGCCAAAUUGUAUGCUCCGUUAACGUUUUCGCUAAAGUAACCCCGAUCUAGGAAGCACACUGAGGGUAUUGCAAAGAAUAGGGUACACAGGUUGCAUGUGUUCCCAAUUCUUUUUUAGCUUAUAUUUUCAGUUGGAAUCAUUUUCCUUUCACCCAUAAAUCCUGACUAUGACUGAAACCAAUGUGUAUGUGGAUGGGGAAAAACUUCUACAUGUAUCUGAUUUUAAAUACUUGGGUAUCAUUUUAGACUCCAACCUCUCAUUUAAAAAACACAUAAGAAAGGCUGCCAACACAGUCAAAUUCAAUCUAUGUCAUUUCAAACACAUUCGAUUGUCUGUCCACUGGUGCUGCUACGCUUUAUAUGCACUCCAUGAUCGUCUCUCAUAUCUCAUACUGCCUUACAAGCUGGACACACUGGAAUAACUGCUCUACUAUCAAUAGAGGUUUUAUUCAAACAAACACUCAAAGUCUUAGACAGAAAACCCAACACACACCAUCACUGUGACAUAAUAAGAAAAUAUAAUCUAUUAAACUUCAACAAUUUAAUAAAAUAUGAUGACGCCUGCCUUACUUUUAAGAUCCUUCAAGGUUUGGCCCCUCCUCCACUUAGUCAGUUUGUAAAGUACAAGUCAUACACUGAAAGAACCACACAAGCAACAAAGAGGAAAGACUUUGAUGUACCAUAUAGAAAAAGCAAAUUUAGCCAAUCCCCCUUUUCUGUCAGAUCAUCCCACUUACGUACAGACAUCAGAUCAGGCAACAACUACCGCACUUUCACACAUAAACUGAAGUUAUGGCCAAAAGCAAAUCAAUGCUGCUCUCAAAUUUGUAAAUUUACUAUGUUUGAUUUUUUUCUUCUUUCCUAUAUCACUUUUUAUACCAAAAAUGUAACUUACUAUUAACAUCUCUCACCUGCUACAGGGACUACAGAUGAAAAUGAGCUCUUGAGCUAACUCUGGCACUGUACCAUUUGACGCAACUGCGGAAAUGUUGAUUAUAGUGUGUUGUCCCUUUUAAAUAAAUAAAUAAAUAAAUAAAUAAAUAAAUAAAUAAAUAAAUCCUGAAACUGUUGUGCUCAAGGAAUUUAUGGCUUGGUUUCCAGUGUCAACACAUGGAGAGAAGACCUCAGAAAAAAGUAAAUCAACCAAACUGAGAGGUCAAACUAGCUUUCAGAAAUCUGAAUUUAUAAAAUAUAAGCCAUUCAUUUUUCUACUUUUUUACCUAUGUGCUUAAAACAAACAUUUUAGUUAUAUAGUUAAUACAUCAUUCAUGCAGUUCAACAGAAUGCUAACAUGGCAACUUAACACACUACUAAGGCUGCAUUCAGACUGCAGGCCAUAACGCUCAGUUCGUUUUUUAAAGCAACCCAACAGUACUGCCAAUGCAGAACUAUGAAGAAAUUAACCUGUGGCAUAAAAAUCACUUAGCUGGUGGCACUCCUGUUACCCUCCUGAACCAAUCCAGUCCUAAUCACGGGCAUAUCCCACCCAAUUUGCAUACACCAGCAUGCUACAUGCAUGCAUGGACUGAGCAAUUCCAAUUUGAGUAUCCACAAACAUGGAAGUCACAUGAUUACACCAGAUUUAUUUCCCCAUGCAGAUGAACUGAAAAGAAUGCAACUCAAUGUGUUUUUUGCCGUUCACACUGUUCUAAAAACAUCCAAUCUUUCACAUGAAGAUAUGAGGUAUUUUAAAUUCAAAGUUAUAUUAAAUUAUAACCCAAUAUGUUAUAUAUAUCUGUUGCAAUAUUGUUCAAUGCUCCCCUGACUGGCCAGAGUAAUAGUUCUGUUAGUAGAAUGAGGGGACAUAAAUGUAAAUUAGCAAAAGGCAAAUUCCACACAGACAUUAGUUUUUACAUGCAGAGAAUAGUCAAUAUGUGGGAUAGCCUGCCAGGUCAUGUAGUAGAGGCAGAAACUCUGGGGAUUUUCAAGACCAGGCUUGAUACAGUGUGAGAUACUAUCUAGUCUGUCGGUAAUCAGAGCAAUAAUUUAGUGAGGAAAAUGGCGAGCUUUGUUGGGCUGAAUGGCCUGUUCUCAUCAUUAUGUUAUGUUAUGAAAAUAGAGUACUAUCAGUUUACAGACUUCCUAUGAAAACUCCCUGUAACAUCUGAGCCAGUUAGCAUCCUGAGCAGAGCGCUGCACUGGCUGUCUUCUCCUGGGCUCAUAUUAAAACUUCCUAAGAACUAAAUUCAUGGCUGGCAGGUGAUUUAUCCGGCCAGUGCAUCAGUCCCAGUCUUUCAGUAUCAUGCAAAUGUCCUUGAGUGGCCAUUUCAGAAAAAUGGGUGUCCUGUAUAUUUUUUAUACUCGCUGAUUUAGCUCUAAAACACAAAAUGAAAUAAAACAUUUUUUAUUCAUGAAUCCACAGACAAAGCGAAAAUAAAUUUUGCCACAUUAACAGGUUGUUUCACAGAGACUCCUCAAGAUUUUAUUAUAAACCCUUAUAAUUAAUUUCCACACAUUAAGAGGUACUGCUACAAUAUCAGACAGAAAGCAUUUCUCUCCUCAUAAACCAAGAGGUAUUUCAAAUAAUAUGCUGUAGCAUAGACUCGCUAAAUACAUUUCUGUUAUGUGAGACCUUCCUAAGCAGAGUGCAAGAAUGAGCGUUUGAACAUACCUGCUGUCACUGUGAAAAGGAAUUGCAUCAAUUGUGGGAAACCCUGUCACAUUUAGGCUCAGAAUAGAUCAGAAAAGGCACUAUAUCAGAAAUCACCAACUCUCCUCCUGCAGAGCCACAGUCUCUCAUAGGUUUAGCUUUAACAUUAACCCCAUCAGCCACCUGAGGAGAGUUAUUGUGUAAUCAGCUGCUUUGAUUGCUGAGGCUGUCCAGGACCAGGAUUGAGGACUCCUGCAGACUAUAGUCCCUUCCCCUUCAAUCCACAGUAAUAUACAUAAUUACAGGACUUUAAUGAAUCAGCAGGUACUGUACAUAACGUUUUGUACAAUGUUUGAUCCAUUUUAUAUUUUAUACUAAUUUUAUAUUGUUCUAUUUUGUACAAUAAAACAAUUCAUAAUAAAUACUUGUGCUACAGAUGACAAAAACUAGCAUGUAAUAGGAAGUACGUAGUAUCAUACACAUACUAAACUAUUAUUAAUUAAUGUAAAAAUAAUUAAUUUCUUUAACACAGUUAAAACACAACUUUCAAUGGCAGAUUUCGCUUGAUAUGUGCAAAUGCAGGUGGUAGCAGGGAGUCCUACUUGACGCUAGUUACACAGGCUUGUUACUGAUUGGGGGGGUUAUGCCCUCAUCUCCCACCACUCUUACUUUCCAGUGCCCUCAGGCUGUUCAUCGGACCCUUCUUCCACACGGACGGGAUCUACAGCCACACAGGAGAGAGGAGAAAGCAGUCAGAACCACUGCCCAACGCAGGACAGACCACAGCAAAGCUGCAAAAAAGAGACGGGACACUGGCGAGGGAGGUGUGGUACCGGGGGUGGCGAGGACGGCUCCAGGUGCCGACCCAGGAAGGAGAGCAGGCGCCUCCAGAUCAGGCCGCUUCCCAGGAACAUGAAGCCCGUCACCAGCCAGAACACGCGCGGGUCCUGUCAACACAAUCACACAGGCACAGGAGUCGCUCAAAGCUUUCCUCAACGCAGAAGCCCCAUGCUGUCCUGUCAGUCAGAACUCUUAGAGAUGACCAUGGGUGAUUACCAUGGGUGAUUAGCAUGGGUCUUCUCAAAAGAUAUUUUUACAGCGGUGUGCUAUCACAAACUGGAAUAAACAAAGAGUGAUGCCGUGAUUCCAGUUUGAGGAUGCUGAAUUGGGAUUAACACUCUCAAAACCAAUUACUGUAAAGUGAAUGUAAGAGGCCUGAAAAUAGUUAGAAUAACCAUAAAUUAUCACAGAGGGAAGUAUCCACUACACAUAAACCAAACACCUAUUCAAAUUAAUGUCAAUAACUGGAAUGACACAUUUCAAAUCAGACAAAAUAUGUAUUGAAAAAACCUCAGGAUUGUAUGGGAGUGGUCGGGAGAAAUAAAUACUUAAUAAAGAAUACCAAA